rnacentral:lncRNA from 1 species
CUGCUCAUUUCUCUCUGGGUUUUUCUCUUCCCUCCUCAGCGCCCACAAGCCUUUGUCCUGGAUUUGGGACUCUUGGGCCUUACCUGCAGGUCCUGAGCCCAGCUGGUCCUGGAACUGUUCUAUCUGCCUUAUAGGGCAGUGUCCAUCCUUCUCCGGGCCUGCUCUCUGUCUCCCCAGCACAGGAGUCUUCCAGCUUCUUAAGUGGGCCUUGGAGGCCUUCUGAGUCAGCCUUUAUCUGACACCUAAGGAACAGUCGGUUCACCGAUAGUUGAGGACAUGCCCCAUAGAGACUGAGUUGCACUGGCAGAAACACUGGGACAAGAUCUUCUCUACAGCACCCAAAGUUGUCACCACCAUGGGACCCCCACUCUGGGGCCAGCUGUGACCUCCUGCUGUCCUCUUAGUCAGAAUCAAGAAUUUCCUCCUCUGCUUCAGGGUCCGCACACCAGACGCUUUAAAAGGUCUCACUCCCUCUUUUAACCUUGCCCUGCCUCAGACCCUCUCUCUAGCCCUCACACUCUUCACUCCUCCAGUCUGGUUAUCCCUCCCAAAUCUCUGAGCUCCCACCACUGGGCCAGAACCGUCCCUCAGAUCACCACCCUGCCUUCUGUCAAGCUCUUGAAAUUCCACCUCCUCCAGGAAGCCUCUUUGGAUUUAUUGGACUGGACCUGAUAUCCUUCUGACAUCAGUCUCUCUAACUUCUUCCCCCAGCAGCAGCUGCUACACAACAACUUGGUUAAGGGCUAGACUCUGAGUCCCCAGUCCAAGAUGUGCAAGAUGGAUCUGGAUGGGCUUUUCAAGGACAAGCAGACAAAAUAAUGAAAACUGACCCAUAAAGAGCGACCACAUUUCCGUUAUGAAAAAGCUGGAGGCAUUAAGGGAUGAGAGGGGAUGUUAUGUUUCUACAGGGUCGAGGCCAGGGGGUAGCAUAGUGAAACCAGAAAGACAUCAUGAGAAGGUGGGCUUUACAGCAAGGCAG